rnacentral:rRNA from 1 species
GACGAACGCUGGCGGCGUGCUUAACACAUGCAAGUCGAACGGAAAGGCCCUGCUUUCGUGGGGUGCUCGAGUGGCGAACGGGUGAGUAACACGAGAGUAACCUGCCCUUUACUUUGGGAUAACUUCAGGAAACUGGGGCUAAUACCGGAUCGGAGCUCCUGCUGCAUGGUGUGGGUUGGAAAGAUUCGGCGGUUGGGGAUGGACUCGCGGCUUCUCAGCUUGUUGGUGGGGUAGUGGCUUACCAAGGCUUUGACGGGUAGCCGGCCUGAGAGGGUGACCGGCCACAUUGGGACUGACCUACCGCCCAGCCUCCUCCGGGAUGCAGCGGUGGAGAAUAUUGCACUAGGGGCGGAAGCCUGAUGCGGCAACGCCGCGUCCGGGAUGACGGCCUUCAAGUUGCAAACCGCUUUCGCCUGUGACGAAGCUUGAGUGCCGUUAAUAGGUAAUGAUGACCCCGCUGACUACGUG